UUUAUAAUAAACUAUCAAAUAUGUAUUCGGGUACUAAUUACUAGGAUCGAAAAAUAAUUAACUCCCGUCCAGUUCAAGUUGAUCAACUAUAAUAUAUAAUUACUAGCUGAACCCGUGCACUUCGUUACCUGUUAAAUGUACAAACUGUAUAUGACUCAAAUUUUGUUCAAUGCGUUAUUUAAUAUUCGGUGUAUGAUGUUCUAGAUUUAUCUUAACUUAAUGUUGCCCGGAAUAAAAAUUCUGAUUCGCAGCAGUAUAUUAUCAGGUAGGCCAUCUACCUGCGGUAAAUCGCGGACCCCGUGCUGUUCGUACAUGAGUGUAUGAUUUAACUAUAAAGUAUCAAAGAUGACACGCACGUCCGUUGUUCCAGACACUAGAAGCCCUCGUCAGUCGUCAUCAUCAUCGGAUAAAAUAUGACGUAUUGUCAUAGGUAGUAUACCUAUACGGUAUAAGUGUAUAACUUAUAAUAUAAUAUUCUAAUAUUAUAGCCGGGUGCACAAAACCUGGCACUGCUGAUUCUCGGGUCGUCUUUUACACCUAUAAGAGCGGCGGCCUUGGAAGAUACUCCCCCAGAAAUAAAAAUAAUUUUAAACGAAAAAAUUCACGAGGGCGCCACCCCCGAGUUUGCCGUGUCAAAGUUCACUCCCAACCCUUAUGUAUAUUAUAUUAUGUAUGUAUUUUUAUAUGAUAUCAGACCUGCGCAGAAUCUUUGGUUGUCUCCUGGUGGCGAUGCGACCCAUCGCGGUCUAUCGACGUCGUUGCAUAUAGAAACCUGCUAUUUAUAUGGGCAAAUGUGUAUGCAUAAUUUAUAAUAUUAUAUAAUAUCAAUGCCGAACGAGUGAUAUGCAGAUAUGUCGUCAUUCGACUACUUGGGAUAACGCGGCACUCAUGGGUCCAGAUAUACCAAAGGAAUUAUAUUAUUCGAUCGCAACGUUUUCACACGUACACGCCGCCACACUGCUGAUGCAAUCAGUAUCGCGAAAUAACGGGAUCGAUAGACGAUGGACGGACGAUGGACGAUUCUGGUGAUACAUCCCGAUUUUUUUACAUAUAGAUUAUUAAGAAAACUGAAAAGUGUUGAGAUUUUUCAAUGUUGACUUCUCAUAAGGAUCAAUUACUAGAUCCAUUUUAGAAACCAUUCCCAAAGUUGAAAAUCGAAGCAUUUUUUCUAUUACAUUUUGUAUACAGAAACAAAGAAAAAUCGCUUAAUUUUAAAAUAAUAUUAUUUAUUAAUUUAUUAUGUUUUGACGUGAAACAUGAUUAUAUAAUAUGAAUAAUAUAUUACAAAAG